CCCGGUGGCGAAGGGAAGCCAUUAAGCCCGCCGCCUGGGGAGUACGGCCGCAAGGCUGAAACUUAAAGGAAUUGGCGGGGGAGCACCACAAGGGGUGGACGUUGCGGCUUAAUCGGAUUCAACGCCGGAAACCUUACCGGGGCUGACGGCAGGAUGAAGGUCGGGCUGACGACCCUACCUGACGAGCCGAGAGGAGGUGCACGGCCGUCGCCGGUGCGUGCCGUGAGGUGUCCUGUUAAGUCAGGCAACGGACGAGACCCGCGCCCCCAGUUGCCAGCGGCCGAGAGGCGCCGGGCACUUUGGGGGGACUGCCCCCGAAAGGGGGAGGAAGGAGCGGGCUACGGCAGGUCGGUAUGCCCCGAAUGCCCCGGGCCGCACGCGACGUUCAAUGGCGGGGACAGUGGGAUGCGACCCCGAAAGGGGGAGCCAAUCCCUAAACCCCGCCUCAGUAGGGAUCGAGGGUUGCAACUCGCCCUCGUGAACGCGGAAUCCCUAGUAACCGCGCGUUAACACCGCGCGGUGAAUACGUCCCCGCUCCUUGCACACACCGCCCGUCAA
rnacentral:rRNA from 1 species